rnacentral:rRNA from 1 species
AGAAUCAACGCUGGCGGCGUGCCUAACACAUGCAAGUCGAACGAGAAAGGGUAGCAAUACCUGAGUAAAGUGGCGCACGGGUGAGUAACACGUGACUAACCUACCUUUUAGUGGGGGAUAACCUAGGGAAACCUGGGCUAAUACCGCAUAAUACCUACGGGUCAAAGCAGCAAUGCGCUGGAAGAGGGGUCGCGGCCGAUUAGCUAGUUGGCGGGGUAAUGGCCCACCAAGGCAGUGAUCGGUA